AAUUGGUGGUGUAGGGGUAAAAUCCGUAGAUAUCACCAAGAAUACCCAUUGCGAAGGCGAUCUGCUGGAACUCAACUGACGCUAAGGCGCGAAAGCGUGGGGAGCAAACAGGAUUAGAUACCCUGGUAGUCCACGCCCUAAACGAUGUACACUAGUUGUUGGGGUGCUAGUCAUCUCAGUAAUGCAGCUAACGCAUUAAGUGUACCGCCUGGGGAGUACGGUCGCAAGAUUAAAACUCAAAGGAAUAGACGGGGACCCGCACAAGCGGUGGAGCAUGUGGUUUAAUUCGAAGAUACGCGAAGAACCUUACCUGGGCUUGAUAUCCUAAGAACUUUUUAGAGAUAAGAGGGUGCUAGCUUGCUAGAACUUAGAGACAGGUGCUGCACGGCUGUCGUCAGCUCGUGUCGUGAGAUGUUGGGUUAAGUCCCGCAACGAGCGCAACCCACGUAUUUAGUUGCUAACGGUUCGGCCGAGCACUCUAAAUAGACUGCCUUCGUAAGGAGGAGGAAGGUGUGGACGACGUCAAGUCAUCAUGGCCCUUAUGCCCAGGGCGACACACGUGCUACAAUGGCAUAUACAAUGAGACGCAAUACCGCGAGGUGGAGCAAAUCUAUAAAAUAUGUCCCAGUUCGGAUUGUUCUCUGCAACUCGAGAGCAUGAAGCCGGAAUCGCUAGUAAUCGUAGAUCAGCCAUGCUACGGUGAAUACGUUCCCGGGUCUUGUACUCACCGCCCGUCACACCAUGGGAGUUGAUUUCACUCGAAGCCGGAAUACUAAACUAGUUACCGUCCACAGUGGAAUCAGCGACUGGGGUGAAGUCGUAACAAGGUAACCGUAGGAGAACCUGCGGUUGGA
rnacentral:rRNA from 1 species